AAAGAGAUAGGGAAGAUGAAUGGGUCGAUUGACGAGCAUUUUGAGAUCACAUCAAGCAUCAUGGAGUUUCUUAAGAAGCAAGGUUUCAAAGGACAAUUUAGAGGAUGAGGUAUCUCAUGAACUCGUACAUCGCCUUUUUGAUUGGUUUUGAUGACGUUCAGAAGCAUACUUGCAAAUGAAGAUCAACUGUUGAAUUUUUUUCCUAAACUGAAGCUUAGUUGUAGUUGCAAAUUAAGAUUGAGUGUUGAUUUUUUUUGGUGGACUCCACGUUAGUUUAUUUUGGGAUUUACUUUGAUGGUUUUUUUGUGAUACUUAAUGGAUUAUUAUUAAGGUUGUUUGAUGGAUAUAUUUUGAUUUAUAAAAUAAAUUGUUUAGUGAA